AACGAACGCUGGCGGCAUGCCUAACACAUGCAAGUCGAACGAGACCUUCGGGUCUAGUGGCGCACGGGUGCGUAACGCGUGGGAACCUGCCCUUAGGUUCGGAAUAACUCCCCGAAAGGGGUGCUAAUACCGGAUAAUGUCUUCGGACCAAAGAUUUAUCGCCUUUGGAUGGGCCCGCGUUGGAUUAGCUAGUUGGUAGGGUAAAAGCCUACCAAGGCGACGAUCCAUAGCUGGUCUGAGAGGAUGAUCAGCCACACUGGGACUGAGACACGGCCCAGACUCCUACGGGAGGAAGAAGUGGGGAAUAUUGGACAAUGGGCGAAAGCCUGAUCCAGCAAUGCCGGGUGAGUGAUGAAGGCCUUAGGGUUGUAAAGCUCUUUUACCAGGGAUGAUAAUGACAGUACCGGGAGAAUAAGCGCCGGCAAACUCCGUG
rnacentral:rRNA from 1 species